rnacentral:rRNA from 1 species
AUUCCACGUGAUCCGUGUCGCAGCUAACGCAUUAAGCGCCCCGCCUGGGGAGUACGGCCGCAAGGCUAAAACUCAAAGGAAUUGACGGGGGCCCGCACAAGCGGCGGAGCAUGCGGAUUAAUUCGAUGCAACGCGAAGAACCUUACCAAGGCUUGACAUAUAGAGGAAAACUGCAGAAAUGUAGUCCCCGCAAGGUCUCUAUACAGGUGGUGCAUGGUUGUCGUCAGCUCGUGUCGUGAGAUGUUGGGUUAAGUCCCGCAACGAGCGCAACCCUCGUCCUAUGUUGCCAGCACGUUAUGGUGGGAACUCAUGGGAGACUGCCGGGGUCAACUCGGAGGAAGGUGGGGAUGACGUCAAAUCAUCGUGCCCCUUAUGUCUUGGGCUUCACGCAUGCUACAAUGGCCGGUACAAAGGGCUGCAAUACCGCAAGGUGGAGCGAAUCCCAAAAAGCCGGUCUCAGUUCGGAUUGAGGUCUGCAACUCGACCUCAUGAAGUCGGAGUCGCUAGUAAUCGCAGAUCAGCAACGCUGCGGUGAAUACGUUCCCGGGCCUUGUACACACCGCCCGUCAAGUCACGAAAGUCGGUAACACCCGAAGCCGGUGGCCUAACCGUAAGGAAGGAGCCG